UAACCUACGUGGCGGACGGGUGGAGUAACGACGUGGGAAGUACUGCCUUUACGUAUGGGGAGUAACGGGUCGAAUGACUCGCUAAUACCGCAUAUGACGAAAGUUGAAAGGAGUAAUCCGUCUAAAGAUGAGCCCGCGUCCGAUUAGCUAGUUGGUAGAGUAAAAGCCUACCAAGGCGACGAUCGGUAGCUGGUCUGAGAGGAUGAUCAGCCACAAUGGGACUGAGACACGGCCCAUACUCCUACGGGAGGCAGCAGUGGGGAAUUUUACGCAAUGGGCGAAAGCCUGACGUAGCGACACCGCGUGAGCGAAGAAGCCCCUUGGGGUGUAAAGCUCUGUCAGCUGGAACGAAAAAAUGACGGUACCAGCAGAGGAAGCAUCGGCUAACUACGUG
rnacentral:rRNA from 1 species